rnacentral:rRNA from 1 species
AGAGUUUGAUUCUGGCUCAGAACGAACGCUGGCGGCAGGCUUAACACAUGCAAGUCGAACGCACCGCAAGGUGAGUGGCAGACGGGUGAGUAACGCGUGGGAACCUUCCCUUUGGUACGGAAUAACUUCGGGAAACCGAAGCUAAUACCGUAUAAGUCCUUCGGGAGAAAGAUUUAUCGCCAAAGGAUGGGCCCGCGUUGGAUUAGCUAGUUGGUAGGGUAAUGGCCUACCAAGGCGACGAUCCAUAGCUGGUCUGAGAGGAUGAUCAGCCACACUGGGACUGAGACACGGCCCAGACUCCUACGGGAGGCAGCAGUGGGGAAUAUUGGACAAUGGGGGCAACCCUGAUCCAGCCAUGCCGCGUGAGUGAGGAAGGCCUUAGGGUUGUAAAGCUCUUUUGGCGGGGACGAUAAUGACGGUACCCGCAGAAUAAGCCCCGGCUAACUUCGUGCCAGCAGCGGC